rnacentral:rRNA from 1 species
GGGCUAAUACCGGAUAUGAGCUACCUUCGCAUGGGGGUGGUUGGAAAGUUGUUCGGUCAAGGAUGGGCUCGCGGCCUAUCAGCUUGUUGGUGGGGUGAUGGGCUACCAAGGCGACGACGGGUAGCCGGCCUGAGAGGGGGACCGGCCAUACUGGGACUGAGACGCGCCCAAUCUUUAUACGGGAGGCAGCAGUGGGGAAUAUUGCACAAUGGGCGAAAGCCUGAUGCAGCGACGCCGCGUGAGGGAUGAAGGCCUUCGGGUUGUAAACCUCUUUCAGCAGGGAAGAAGCGCAAGUGACGGUACCUGCAGAAGAAGCGCCGGCUAAUUUUUUUGCCAGCAGCCGCGGUAACCCCCCCCCCCGCAAGCGUUGUCCGGAAUUAUUGGGCGUAAAGAGCUCGUAGGCGGUUUGUCGCGUCUGGUGUGAAAACUCGAGGCUCAACCUCGAGCUUGCAUCGGGUACGGGCAGACUAGAGUGCGGUAGGGGAGACUGGAAUUCCUGGUGUAGCGGUGGAAUGCGCAGAUAUCAGGAGGAACACCGAUGGCGAAGGCAGGUCUCUGGGCCGCAACUGACGCUGAGAGCGAAAGCAUGGGGAGCGAACAGGAUUAGAUACCCUGGUAGUCCAUGCCGUAAACGUUGGGCACUAGGUGUG